rnacentral:ribozyme from 14 species
ACAGGUCUCAUGUAUAGUUAUUUUUUUUUUUUUUUGUGAGUAUGUUUUCUUUUUCGUCCUCGACGAGGGCGACAGCCUUUCGCUGGAGUUGAACUACAACGUUGAUAAGUUGGUAGGUAGGUAAAGUAUAUCGUUCGCAUUGAAGAGUCGAAGGGGUGAAAUAACUAAAUCUCUGCUGCUCAAUACAAAUUAAAAACUACUUGAUAGAUCAGGCAGCUCAUCUUUCAUAUUUUGCACGAAUGAAGCGAGAGAAAAAAAAAAGUU